CAUUAAGUGACUGAAAGUAAGUGUAAGUCUUUUAAACUUAUAAUAGUAGAUAACGACUACUCUUAGUGA
rnacentral:tRNA from 1 species